GGCAGGAUACCUCAGUUGGCUAGAGGGCCCGGUUCAUACCCGGGAUGUCGUGGGUUCGAUCCCCACUCCUGCUA